rnacentral:ncRNA from 2 species
AGCAGCCGCGGUAAUUCCAGCUCCAAUAGCGUAUAUUAAAGUUGUUGCAGUUAAAAAGCUCGUAGUUGAAUUUCGGGAUCAAUUAAUCGGUCGUGCCUCUGGUACGCACUGGUUUUAUUGGUUUCUCCCUUCUGACGAACCAGGAUGUCAUUAAUUUGGUGUCUUGGAGAAUCAGGACUGUUACUUUGAAAAAAUUAGAGUGUUUAAAGCAGGCUAACGCUUGAAUACAUUAGCAUGGAAUAAUGAAAUAGGACGUUUGAUCCUAUUUUGUUGGUUUCUAGGAUCGACGUAAUGAUUAAUAGGGAUAGUUGGGGGCAUUAGUAUUCAAUUGUCAGAGGUGAAAUUCUUGGAUUUAUUGAAGACUAACUACUGCGAAAGCAUUUGCCAAGGAUGUUUUCAUUAAUCAAGAACGAAAGUUAGGGGAUCGAAGACGAUCAGAUACCGUCGUAGUCUUAACCAUAAACUAUGCCGACUAGGGAUCGGAUGAUGUUAAUUUUUUAAUGACUCAUUCGGCGCCUUA